UACGUAGGCAGCGAGCGUUGUUCGGAGUUACUGGGCGUAAAGGGUGUGUAGGCGGUUCUUUAAGUUUGGUGUGAAAUCUCCCGGCUCAACCGGGAGGGUGCGCCGAAUACUGAGGGACUAGAGUACGGGAGAGGAAAGUGGAAUUCCUGGUGUAGCGGUGAAAUGCGUAGAUAUCAGGAGGAACACCGGUGGUGUAGACGGCUUUCUGGACCGUAACUGUCGCUGAAACACGAAAGCGUGGGUAGCAAACAGG
rnacentral:rRNA from 1 species